rnacentral:rRNA from 1 species
UACGUAGGGUGCGAGCGUUUGUCCGGAAUUAUUGGGCGUAAAGGGCUCGUAGGCGGUUUGUCGCGUCGGGAGUGAAACACCGGGCUUAACUCGGUGCUUGCUUUCGAUACGGGCAGACUAGAGGUAUGCAGGGGAGAACGGAAUUCCUGGUGUAGCGGUGAAAUGCGCAGAUAUCAGGAGGAACACCGGUGGCGAAGGCGGUUCUCUGGGCAUUACCUGACGCUGAGGAGCGAAAGUGGGGGGAGCGAACAGG